rnacentral:hammerhead_ribozyme from 2 species
AUCCAUCUGACGAAUCCCAAAUAGGACAAGACGCUCGUCCUGGAU